rnacentral:rRNA from 1 species
GACGAACGCUGGCGGCGUGCUUAACACAUGCAAGUCGAGCGGAAAGGCCCUUCGGGGUACUCGAGCGGCGAACGGGUGAGUAACACGUGAGUAACCUGCCCCAGACUUUGGGAUAACCCUCGGAAACGGGGGCUAAUACCGGAUACGACACAGCUUCGCAUGGGGUCUGUGUGGAAAGUUUUUCGGUUUGGGAUGGGCUCGCGGCCUAUCAGCUUGUUGGUGGGGUGAUGGCCUACCAAGGCGACGACGGGUAGCCGGCCUGGGAGGGCGACCGGCCACACUGGUACUGAGAGACGGCCCAGACUCCUACGGGAGGCAGCAGUGGGGAAUAUUGCACAAUGGGCGGAAGCCUGAUGCAGCGACGCCGCGUGAGGGAUGACGUCCUUCGGGUUGUAAACCUCUUUCAGCAGGGACGAAGCGUAAGUGACGGUACCUGCAGAAGAAGCGCCGGCCAACUACGUG